UGUAAAUUUUAUUCUAGUUUAUAUAAAUUUUUAUUAUGAUAAAAUAUGAUAUGUGAAUUUUUGUGUGGGAUUAUUGCUUGUUUAAAUAACAGGCAUACUUAUUUUUUUGCAGCUUUUAUUUUUAUGGUAUUUAAUAUUUUAAGACAUAGUUAAUUAUUCUAUGACUAGCAAAAAUUGUGCCAGCAGCUGCGGUUACACAAUUGGUCAAGGAAAUUUUUUUUAAAAUAAUUAUUAAUAUGUUAUUAUUGACUAUAUAUCUAUACUUUUUAAGUGAAAUUUGAAAUGUUUUUUAUAGUUUGGUAAUUUUUUAGAUUAUAAGAUAUUCUUUAUUGAAACUAGGAUUAGAUACCCUAUUAUUUAGAAUGUAAAUUUAGUUUUUUAGUAUUAUGAGUUAUGAUCUUUAAAUUGAAAGAAUUUGACGGUAAUUUAAUCAUUUUAGAGGAACCUGUUCUGUAAUCGAUAAUCCACGAUACAUUUUACCUUUAUUGUUAUAAUUAGUUUGUAUAUCUCUGUCUGAAUUGAAUGUUUUAAUAGAAUAUUUUCAUGGAUUUUUAUUGAAUUUUAUGUCAGGUCAAGGUGCAGCUAUAUAGAGGGUUGAAAUGGGUUACAUUUAAUUUUUAUAAUUAUUGGAUUAAUUUAUUAAUAAUAGAUUAUGAAAUUGGAUUUAAUUGUAAUGUUUAAUAUAUUUUAUUCAUGAUAUAUGAUCUUGGUUAAGUACACAUCGCCCGUCACUCUCGUUAAUAAGAUGAGAUAAGUCGUAACAAAGUAGUCCUAUCGGAAGAUGGGGCUGGAAUUAUA
rnacentral:ncRNA from 1 species